AAAAAUAAUAAAAAAAUAAAAGGAAUAAUAUGAAGAAAGAAGAAAAGCAACAGCAGGAGCAGGCAGCCUGCCAGAAGCUGGUUCCAAAAGGUGCUUAAUGCUUACACUUGCAGCAAACAACAGUCACAUUUUACGCAGAGAGAUGGAUAGUGUUUAACAGAAGCAAUUUUUUAUUCGUUCCCUGCUCCUCUCUCGUCCUUAUCCACCCACCCUUUCAACAUCUUCCUCUGAUUUACAUUUUCGAUCUCAAACUAACCACCAUCAAUUAAAUAAAUAAAAUUUCAUGACAGCAUCGUCGUUGUCGUCGUCAUCAGGUCACCUCCGUCUCAUGCCCGAUCUCCAACCAUUUUUGGCCCAGAUGAGACUCCUUAGGAAGGUGGUGUUUACAGCAUAAGGUUGACAUUUGGUGAGAUUUACACAUAAAAGCCACCUCGCGUUCGAUUCACCUGUGAAAUGUUUCAUCCUAAUGGACUCCUUUCACUGUGGCUGAGAGCAAGAUUAGGAAUCAGUAACUCGGCUCGAAGGGGAGGAUGGGAGGGCAUUGUGAUUCCGUUGCAGAAAAGCCAAAUGAUUGUCUAUGAAAAUUCUUGGGUGUUCAUUUUUGGCUGCAGCACACUGAAAUUCUGAAUAGCACAACUUAUUGAGUAGGCUCGUUUAGUUGUGAAUCUUUCUAAGCAAGGUUUGUGAAUGGCCUCGCUUCCCUCAACAAUUAGACUUGGCAGGAAGCUGACAUCAACUGAUUAUGCAGGGUUGCUGUGUGUUUUUCAGACCUUUCAUGUUGAUCUAGAUCUUCCCUGUAAUUGUUCCUACACAUGUGAAUCUGUUAGAGCAUGGGCACGAUUUGUGCACGUAACUUUGAGGAUCUUGACAAGAGUUUGAAAAUUGAAUAUCAAGGACGUAAAUAUGUUUGAAAGGAGAUAUUUGGUUUGGUCUGUUCAAGAUUAAUUGUGCACUGAGCUUAAUCUAAACUGGUUCAAAUUACUGAACCCAUUCAAAAUCGUUCGGAAGUUCAUCAGCUGAGAACUGUGUGCAGCUUUAUGUGGCAGAAAAAUGAUUGGCAGCAUUGACAAAGCCUCGUCUGCAAGAUAAUAAACUGAAAAAGAUAUGAUAGAAGAAUUGUGAAAAUGCAAUAUAAUGUAUAAUAGCGACUAAUUCUAAGAGACGAGAACUUAUUAUCCUACUUUCCAUCUGAGAUUCUGAGUUGUGUGGUGAUGGGCUUUUCCAAGUCAUGACAAUGAUCAGCAUCUUUCUUUCA